GGACUACUGGGGUAUCUAAUCCCGUUUGCUCCCCUGGCUUUCGCGCCUCAGCGUCAGAAGAGAUCCAGCCCGUCGCUUUCGCCACCGGCGUUCCUUCGGAUAUCAACGCAUUUCACCGCUCCACCCGAAGUUCCACAGGCCCCUACCUCCCUCUAGACCCGCAGUUUCCAAGGCCCUUCCCCCGUUGAGCGGGGGGCUUUCACCCCGGACUUGCGGACCCGCCUACGCGCCCUUUAAGCCCAGUGAUUCCGAACAACGUUCGCACGGUUCGUCUUACCGCGGCUGCUGGCAC
rnacentral:rRNA from 1 species